rnacentral:rRNA from 1 species
ACAGGCUUAACACAUGCAAGUCGAGGGGCAGCAUGAACUUAGCUUGCUAAGUUUGAUGGCGACCGGCGCACGGGUGAGUAACACGUAUCCAACCUGCCGAUGACUCGGGGAUAGCCUUUCGAAAGAAAGAUUAAUACCCGAUGGCAUAGUUCUUCCGCAUGGUAGAACUAUUAAAGAAUUUCGGUCAUCGAUGGGGAUGCGUUCCAUUAGGUUGUUGGCGGGGUAACGGCCCACCAAGCCUUCGAUGGAUAGGGGUUCUGAGAGGAAGGUCCCCCACAUUGGAACUGAGACACGGUCCAAACUCCUACGGGAGGCAGCAGUGAGGAAUAUUGGUCAAUGGACGAGAGUCUGAACCAGCCA